rnacentral:rRNA from 1 species
GCACAAGCAGUGGAGUAUGUGGUUUAAUUCGAAGCAACGCGAAGAACCUUACCAGGUCUUGACAUCGUGCGCAUAGUGUAGAGAUACAUGAAAUCCUUCGGGACGCAUAGACAGGUGGUGCAUGGUUGUCGUCAGCUCGUGUCGUGAGAUGUUGGGUUAAGUCCCGCAACGAGCGCAACCCUUACCUUUAGUUGCUACGCAAGAGCACUCUAGAGGGACUGCCGUUGACAAAACGGAGAAG